AAGAGGAAAUGGCGAUAAGUAGAGAGAUAGGAACCAACGUACAAGUAAAGAACUCCAAACAGAGGGACCACAGAACCCAAAUAUACAAUCAUCAGGAGAUCAGAUCUGCUCCAUAAGAUGAUGGUGAAGUCUAUGAUGUAUAUGGACAGAUCUGCUCCAUAAGAUGAUGGUGAAGUCUACGAUGUAUAUGGACAGAUCUGCUCCUGAAGAUGAUGAUGAAGUCUACGAUGUAUAUGGACAGAUCUGCUCCUGAAGAUGAUGGUGAAGUCUACGAUGUAUAUGGACAAAUCUGCUCCUGAAGAUGAUGGUGAAGUCUACGAUGUAUAUGGACAGAUAUGCUCCAUAAGAUGAUGGUGAAGUCUACGAUGUAUAUGGACAAAUCUGCUCCUGAAGAUAAUGGUAAACUAAGAUCUGCUCCUGAAGAUGAUGGUGAAGUCUAUGAUGUAUAUGGACAGAUCUGCUCCUGAAGAUGUUGGUGAAGUCUAUGAUGUAUAUGGACAGAUCUGCUCCUGAAGAUGAUGGUUAAGUCUACGAUGUAUAUGGACAGAUCUGCUCCUGAAGAUGAGGGUGAAGUCUAUAAUGUAUAUGGACAGAUCUGCUCCUGAAGAUGUUGGUGAAGUCUAUGAUGUAUAUGGACAGAUCUGCUCCUGAAGAUGAUGGUGAAGUCUGCGAUGUAUAUGGACAGAUCUGCUCCUGAAGAUGAAGUCUACGAUGUAUAUGGACAGAUCUGCUCCUGAAGAUGAUGGUGAAGUCUACGAUGUAUAUGGACAAAUCUGCUCCUGAAGAUGAUGGUGAAGUCUACGAUGUAUAUGGACAGAUAUGCUCCAUAAGAUGAUGGUGAAGUCUACGAUGUAUAUGGACAAAUCUGCUCCUGAAGUUAAUGGUAAACUAAGAUCUGCUCCUGAAGAUGAUGGUGAAGUCUACGAUGUAUAUGGACAAAUCUGCUCCUGAAGAUAAUGGUAAACUAAGAUCUGCUCCUGAAGAUGAUGGUGAAGUCUAUGAUGUAUAUGGACAGAUCUGCUCCUGAAGAUGAUGGUGAAGUCUAUGAUGUAUAUGGACAGAUCUGCUCCUGAAGAUGAUGGUGAAGUCUAUGAUGUAUAUGGACAGAUCUGCU